UAGAGUUUGAUCAUGGCUCAGGAUGAACGCUGGCGGUAUGCCUUAUACAUGCAAGUCGUACGAAAGUUUUUAACUUUAGUGGCGGACGGGUGAGUAACACGUAAGAAUUUACCUUUAGGAGGGGGACAACAGUUGGAAACGAUUGCUAAUACCCCAUAUGCUUUUUAGUGAAAUGAUUAUUUUCGCCUAAAGAGAAGCUUGCGGCUGAUUAGCUUGUUGGUAAGAUAAUAGCUUACCAAGGCGACGAUCAGUAUCUGGUUUGAGAGGACGAUCAGACACACUGGAACUGAGACACGGUCCAGACUCCUGCGGGAGGCAGCAGUAGGGAAUUUUCCGCAAUGGGCGAAAGCCUGACGGAGCAAUACCGCGUGAGGGAUGAAUGCCUAUGGGUUGUAAACCUCUUUUUUCAGGGAGGAAUAAAUGACGUGUACCUGAAGAAUAAGCAUCGGCUAACUCCGUGCCAGCAGCCGCGGUAAGACGGAGGAUGCAAGUGUUAUCCGGAAUCACUGGGCGUAAAGCGUUUGUAGGUGGUCAAAUAAGUCAACUGUUAAAUCUUGGAGCUUAACUUCAAAAUCGCAGUCGAAACUAUUAGACUAGAGUAUAGUAGAGGUAAAGGGAAUUUCCAGUGGAGCGGUGAAAUGCGUAGAGAUUGGAAAGAACACCAAUGGCGAAAGCACUUUACUGGGCUAUUACUGAC
rnacentral:rRNA from 1 species